GCAGUUGGUAGCUUAGUGGUAGAGUGCAUGCUUUGUGUUUAUGACGUCCUGGGUUCGAACCACACUAAUAAUUGCG